rnacentral:rRNA from 1 species
AUUGAACGCUGGCGGCAGGCCUAACACAUGCAAGUCGAGCGGAUGAAGGGAGCUUGCUCCUGGAUCCAGCGGCGGACGGGUGAGUAAUGCCUAGGAAUCUGCCUGGUAGUGGGGGAUAACGUCCGGAAACGGGCGCUAAUACCGCAUACGUCCUGAGGGAGAAAGUGGGGGAUCUUCGGACCUCACGCUAUUAGAUGAGCCUAGGUCGGAUUAGCUAGUUGGUGGGGUAAAGGCCUACCAAGGCGACGAUCCGUAACUGGUCUGAGAGGAUGAUCAGUCACACUGGAACUGAGACACGGUCCAGACUCCUACGGGAGGCAGCAGUGGGGAAUAUUGGACAAUGGGCGAAAGCCUGAUCCAGCCAUGCCGCGUGUGUGAAGAAGGUCUUCGGAUUGUAAAGCACUUUAAGUUGGGAGGAAGGGCAGUAAGUUAAUACCUUGCUGUUUUGACGUUACCAACAGAAUAAGCACCGGCUAACUUCGUG